AACGAACGCUGGCGGCAGGCCUAACACAUGCAAGUCGAGCGAACCUUCGGGUUAGCGGCGGACGGGUUAGUAACGCGUGGGAACGUGCCCCUUCACUACGGAAUAGUCCCCGGGAAAACUGGGUUUAAUACCGUAUACGCCCCUUCGGGGAAAGAAUUCGGUGAAGGAUCGGCCCGCGUUAGAUUAGGUAGUUGGUGGGGUAAUGGCCUACCAAGCCUACGAUCUAUAGCUGGUUUGAGAGGAUGAUCAGCAACACUGGGGACUGAGACACGGCCCAGACUCCUACGGGAGGCAGCAGUGGGGAAUCUUAGACAAUGGGGGAAACCCUGAUCUAGCCAUGCCGCGUGAGUGACGAAGGCCCUAGGGUCGUAAAGCU
rnacentral:rRNA from 1 species